AGCAAGAGGAGAACCAGCAUCUUGUGGGAGUCUUCCACCUGUUCACAUCGGACAUACCUCCUGGCUGUAUCUGCUUUUUCAACUCCAUCAGGACAAGUUUAACUAUCUCACUGGCAGAUUUGGUUUUCUGAAAGUAAAUCUCCUGUAGGUUGUCUUUCACUGUCAUUGAAUGGUUUCUGACCCUAGACAGGUGGACCAAGAGUGCCAAAAACACUGGAAAUUAUAGUCCAAUGAGGACUUUAUUCAUUCUCCUGUGUUUCAAUGCCCAUUGUUAUAACAA
rnacentral:lncRNA from 1 species